UGCAGUCGAGCGGCAGCGACAUGACCGAACCUUCGGGGGACGUUAUGGGCGGCGAGCGGCGGACGGGUGAGUAAUGCCUGGGAAUAUGCCCUGAUGUGGGGGAUAACCAUUGGAAACGAUGGCUAAUACCGCAUAAUCUCUUCGGAGCAAAGAGGGGGACCUUCGGGCCUCUCGCGUCAGGAUUAGCCCAGGUGGGAUUAGCUAGUUGGUGGGGUAACGGCUCACCAAGGCGACGAUCCCUAGCUGGUCUGAGAGGAUGAUCAGCCACACUGGAACUGAGACACGGUCCAGACUCCUACGGGAGGCAGCAGUGGGGAAUAUUGCACAAUGGGGGAAACCCUGAUGCAGCCAUGCCGCGUGUGUGAAGAAGGCCUUCGGGUUGUAAAGCACUUUCAGUCGUGAGGAAGGGUGUGCAGUUAAUAGCUGUACAUUUUGACGUUAGCGACAGAAGAAGCACCGGCUAACUCCGUGCCAGCAGCCGCGGUAAUACGGAGGGUGCGAGCGUUAAUCGGAAUUACUGGGCGUAAAGCGCAUGCAGGCGGUCUGUUAAGCAAGAUGUGAAAGCCCGGGGCUCAACCUCGGAACAGCAUUUUGAACUGGCAGACUAGAGUCUUGUAGAGGGGGGUAGAAUUUCAGGUGUAGCGGUGAAAUGCGUAGAGAUCUGAAGGAAUACCGGUGGCGAAGGCGGCCCCCUGGACAAAGACUGACGCUCAGAUGCGAAAGCGUGGGGAGCAAACAGGAUUAGAUACCCUGGUAGUCCACGCCGUAAACGAUGUCUACUUGGGAGGUUGUGGCCUUGAGCCGUGGCUUUCGGAGCUAACGCGUUAAGUAGACCGCCUGGGGAGUACGGUCGCAAGAUUAAAACUCAAAUGAAUUGACGGGGGCCCGCACAAGCGGUGGAGCAUGUGGUUUAAUUCGAUGCAACGCG
rnacentral:rRNA from 1 species